UACGUAGGUGGCGAGCGUUAUCCGGAAUGAUUGGGCGUAAAGGGUGCGUAGGCGGCCUUUUAAGUCAGCGGUGAAAGUCUGUGGCUCAACCAUAGAAUUGCCGUUGAAACUGGGGGGCUUGAGUAUGUUUGAGGCAGGCGGAAUGCGUGGUGUAGCGGUGAAAUGCAUAGAUAUCACGCAGAACUCCGAUUGCGAAGGCAGCUUACUAAGCCAUAACUGACACUGAAGCACGAAAGCGUGGGGAUCAAACAGG
rnacentral:rRNA from 1 species